UGGGAUGGGCUCCGGGCGGCCUCCGGGCGGCCGUCGGGCCGGGCCCCGCUCCCCGAGGAAGGGCAGGCGGGUCGGCUGGGUCCGGCCCGCGGGGAACGCGGCGGUGGGAGCCGGGCCGGGGCCCGCCCGGCAGGCGGCUCCCCGGGGCGCCGUAGGUGCGGGGAGACCGGCGGCCCGCGGAGGGGGCGAGAGCCCGGGCUUCGCCAAGUCGGUUCGUGUAACGUGCGGGAUCGGGGGUUGCAAAGCGAGGUCGUGGCGGCGAGUUCAGCUGUUUAUGGAUGCUUGCUUGAAAAUACAGUUUAAUUAAUAGUUAAUUUGCGGUGUUGGUUUUAAUAAUUUGAGUAUCUUGAAUUGUUUGCAGUAUUUUGCCAGAUGCCUGCAGUAGGCACUGCUCAGCGAACACAAUAAUUGUUACUGAAUUGUGCAAUUAAAGAAUAAUCAGCUAGAGUCACGAUUGAGAUUCUGAAUUUAUGACCACAAGUACAGAAAUUAGCUGUUUAUUCUGGACGGAAGCGAUGAUGGAAGCGGUCACCCCAAGAGCUUAGAAUGCCUUUUUGCAACACCUGUAGCUGGAGAACAACAGGACUGCAGUAAAUCAGAUACUAAUCUGGAUCUUGGAAGCCCCAUCUUUCUUUCCCACCAGGGUACUCUCUUCAAUCUGGCUUUUGGCAAGUCAUUUAAUUUCUGUGCCUGUCAGAUC